rnacentral:rRNA from 1 species
CAGCAGCCGCCGCGGUAAUACGUAGGUGGCAAGCGUUGUCCGGAAUUAUUGGGCGUAAAGGGCUCGCAGGCGGUUUCUUAAGUCCGAUGUGAAAGCCCCCGGCUCAACCGGGGAGGGUCAUUGGAAACUGGGAAACUUGAGUGCAGAAGAGGAGAGUGGAAUUCCACGUGUAGCGGUGAAAUGCGUAGAGAUGUGGAGGAACACCAGUGGCGAAGGCGACUCUCUGGUCUGUAACUGACGCUGAGGAGCGAAAGCGUGGGGAGCGAACAGGAUUAGAUACCCCAGUAGUCCCUGUCUCUUAUAC